GGAGAUCCGCCGUUUCUUCUGAUCUGGAAAGAACCAAAAAACCUUGAAGGUUGUCUUCUUCAUGAAGUCAGUAGAAAGGACCAAAAAUAGAACCCCUGCUUUCUCACCAACAAACAACUGUUCAUUUUCUAUACACCCAUCAUCUUCCACCCUCAAAACCAGUCUUUCAACCCAUGAAAAGUGGUCACAUUCAGACAUAAAAUAGUCCCAAAAGUAGUAAAAAAAAUGUUGCUUCAUGCCAUAAAAACGCAGCAGCUGCAGCUUCUUUUCUUCCCCGAAAAUUGACCUCAAACCAUCCCUGAACCACUAGCAAAACCAGCCCGAACCCAGCCACGAAAAUCAGAUCCAAAAACUGCCCCGAAUAAGCUGAAAACGACAAUGAAACAGCCCCCUCGAACCGACAAAAUCAGCCGUAAAACAACUUCCUAAAGCUCGCAAAAUCGGUUACGGAAAGCCAUAGUUUUCAUCACUCUUUAAUCCUCCAAAAAUCUCUAAAAUUCAGCACCUUUAACCUGCAAAAACAGCCACUAAACCACCUUAAAAAUAGUCACAAACAACGCUGGAAAACUCCAACGUCCAGCCACACAAAACCAUCUGCGAACGAGGUCGUCUCGGGUUUGUGUGUCUUCCGUCGAGGUUGCCAUUGAGAUUCACGAGUCCAAAUUGGGUCGAGUUUGCUUCCACCUUUGCUUCGGGGUUGUGUUAUGCUUAUUCAUGAAUAAAAUAUCAAAAGAAAUUUGCUGAAAGUUCGAGGUCCGUCGUGGUCAAGUUUUAAGGCUCGAGUUUGCGGUUUUGGAUUUGUUGUUUGUUUGUAUUGUUGCUGAUUUUCCGUAGAGAUCCGAUGUACAUUCGAUUGGAGACCUGUCAGUAAACAAAUUCCCAAAAAUGUUUUUGCCGCUCUAAGGUCCACUCGUACCCCUUUACUUGAAAUCUCUUAUUCUCGUUAAGUGGUAUUGAACUUGAUUGAUGAAACUUUUGCUUAGUUAUCUUAUUUUAGGUAUUAAUUGAUGCUUUGAAUUUUAGAUUAAUAUUCUGGGUUUAGGGUAAUGCUAAAUAAAAUUGGAUAUUUAGUCCAUGAAUAACUUCUUUGACUCUAUUUUAUUUAUAUAUAUUGUUCGCUAGUAACAUGCAUUAGGCCAAUCACACUUAGGAUUUUUGUUAGUUUAAAGGAAAGAGGUCGUUCCCUUAGUUAUAUUUAUCUGGGGUAUGCCCCGAAGGGUUUGUAUAUAUAUUUUAUCUGGGGUAUGGCUCGAAGUAUUUGUAUUUGAAGGCCGAAGACGGAACAGUUCGAGGAAGCAUAUAAUAGUAUUUUAUUUUUUUCUUUUAUUAGGUGGGGACGACCUCGAGCCCUUUUGUUUGUUUAUUUUUGUGUUUUCUACCUCCAUUGAAUAUUUUAGAAACCAACUUUAUUGAGUACACAACCACACUAGUUGCGGGACUUGGGGAGUGCCUAACACCUUCUUCCUGAAUCAAAUGAACCCCCUUACCCAAAUCUCUGGUGCGGACUUCGUUUUAGAGUCUGAAAUGUUUUAAAAGCAAAAAAUAAAUAUUUAAAAAAAUAAUUGGUGGCCUGGCACACCGAAAUCAAAUGCCAGGUCGCGACUCUGAGUUUAUUUCCUUUUGAAACACAAUUUUUGUCACUUUUCAAUUGAAAAACCCUUUUCAAGCUUUAUUUAAAUCUUUUAUUUACUUAAGAGGGUUUAAGUGGAGUUUUGUGUAAAAAAGGGGUGUGGCAGAAGUGGUUGGUGUUACUCCUUUGGAUGCCAUUGAUCUCAAAAACAAAAAUGGUGAGGUAUUCCGGGUCAAUGAGCAUCGAUUCAAGCAUUAUUUGGGAAAGUUCGAUGAUAGCCACAUGGUGGCACUGAUUCAUUUGAGGUGACUAUGAUGGUAACAUGCGUUGUGCCACGACGUUAAAUUAGGCGCUUCUUGGGAGGCAACCCAUGUCUUUUGUUUUUCCUUAUUUUUCUGUGUAGAAUAGGAUUUUUGGGCUGAUAGUUUGUGAAGUGUUGCAGGGAUAUUGUUGAACCAGUGCAAAGAAAAAUGUAAAAAAAGAACAGUCUCUGACCAGUGCCCACGCGGCCGCACACCAAAACAGGAAAAAUGUGAAAAAUGAACAGUCUCUGACCAGUGCCCACGCGUCCGCACACCAAGAUAGUGCAGUCCGCGUGGGGUUGACAAGUUGAAGGUGCAAAACUCAGAAGAACCUACGCGGCCGCAUACCACUUUAAUGCGGUCUGAGGAGAAGGAAUCAGAAAUGGCCACUUUGUGAAGUUUUCCACACGGACGCAUGCCAAAUCAGUGCGGUCCGCGUGGGUGUGGCCAAAUGCACCAAGCCUAUGAAGUUCCCACGCGACCUCAUGACAAAUAAGUGCGUUCUGCGUGAGCUGCAAUCCUAUGCGGUCCGCAUUCCAUUUUGUGCGGCCGCGCAUGUAGGUGAGAAUUGGGCCCCACGGUUUUCUAUAAAUAGACACCUGGGGCCUCCUUUUACUCUUUUCGCAAACUUUCACCUGAAAGCUCCCAUCUACUGUUCACUCACUCACAAUAUGCAAUUAUCAUCGUUUUUUCAUCAAUUAACUG
rnacentral:lncRNA from 1 species